rnacentral:rRNA from 1 species
UACGUAGGGCGCAAGCGUUAUCCGGAAUUAUUGGGCGUAAAGAGCUCGUAGGCGGUUUUGUUGCGUCGGCUGUGAAAAUCCCCGAGGCUCAACCUCGGGGUCUGCAGUCGAUACGAGCAAACUAGAGUGUUGCAGGGGGAGACUGGAAUUCCUGGUGUAGCGGUGAAAAUGCGCAGAUAUCAGGAGGAACACCGGUGGCGAAGGCGGGGUCUCUGGGCAACAACUGACGCUGAGGAGCGAAAGCGUGGGGAGCGAACAGG